UUUUAUGGGAAAGUUAUGCUUUGGGCUUCCCAUCCCAAAAUAAUAACAUUUUCGAAACCCAACUUUGCACAAAAAAAAAUACCUACACUGAUGAUAAAAAAAUUAGGGUUUUCAUGCACUCUGCUAUAAGGUGUUUUUUCAUUCCGAAAUUGCCCUCUUUCUUCAGCCACUUCAGCGUCCACAUCAGAAGGCCUACAAAACCAAAAAAAUUCACUGUCUCACUCACUCGGUCACCCAACCUUCUUUUCCAAUGGAUCAAGUUCAGUUUCUUCUGGUAGGGUUACCUCUGUUUCUCUUCUUCUCAGACAUCAUAAAUCUCUUCACACCAUUGCCUCCAAAGCCACCGCCGCAUCAUCACCAUCAUCAUCAUCACCACCACCAACCCCAACCCAAACCCCAAUCGGCUCCUCUAGAUUUCCCCCACAUAGAAAGAGAGUGGUGAUGGAGGUAUUGGCUACGGCAACACCGUCAAUAUUAAUUUUUGUUCCUCUUGUUCCUACAGGUUUUGUAUUAUUUCUUUUAAUUUUUUUUUAUUAUUUGUUUGCUCGUAUUAAAUUCAAUUGUAGAUAUCUAUUUCAUCUUUGGAUGUUAUGUGAAAAUUAUACUUCUCUGUUUUCUUGGAUGAAUCUAAUUGUUGAGAUGGGUUUGUAAAUUAAGAUUUGAUGGUUCAUUCUAAUUAGGGUUUUGUCGAAAUGGAUGCGGUUUUGGUUGUGUUAAAUUUAUGUGUUGGAAUUGUAAAAAGGAAGAACUUGUUUGUGGAGAAACAUGUUGGGAAUAAAUUCAAUUAUUUAUAAUAUAGAAUAAGUUCGUUGCUUCUUUCAGUAGUUGAAAUGAUGUUAGAAUCAUUUUAAGUGUACCAAAAAAAAUUGUAGAUCUUAAAUGCUAUCACUAAGGUUGUGGUGCUUAAAAAUAUCCUAUAUUUCUACUGGGAAAUCAGAAAAUUUGUGGGCCUAUUGAGAAAGAAUUUUCAGUGUACGGUAGAAAAUUUGUAGGACUGGACCUUUCUCGUCAUAUAUUGAUAAAUUAAGGGAAAGUUGUGUUUCGGGAGGCCCAUUUCAAGGUAAUAUUGUUUUCAAAACCCAAGUUUGCAUAACCCAAGAUAUGUCCACUAUUUGAAGAAAAUUUUUCCUUUUCAUGCACUCUGGUCUUAGGUGUUAUUUCAUACCGAAAAUGGGCCUUACCCUUGGGCCAGCUCAACGUCCACAUCAGGAACCUAAAAAGCCCAAACUCCAUGUCAGCAGCCAAGACGUAAUUUAGUAAAGAUUCAUAUGUGAACUGGAAAAAAAAAUGAAAGCUGAAAGACGAUCACAAAAAAGACCCGAACCCGGCUGAGCUUUCAUUGAUUUUCAAGGGCAUGAGGUAUGUGGGUCAUCGUGAAUCAUGUUUUUCUUCAGUGGGUAUGGAUUAUUUUCGAAGUGUUUUAUGAUCUUCUUGCUCUUAUCAUGGGUUACUUUGGAAACUUGAAUGAUAAUGGUGUUGAUUUACAAUAUUUCCGAAAUUGUCGAAUGAUAGUUUGAUUGCAUUCUUGUGGGGUUUUUCUAUUUGUUUAUUUUUUCUUUUAUUAAUUGUGUUGCAAUUUGUGGUUUUGAUGCUGCCAAUUUUUUCUUCUUGUGGUAGGAUCCCAAUUCGCAACAUUUAGGAACUACGGUUUGGGAUGCAUCAAUGGUAUUUUGUGAAAUUUCUGCCAGAUGAUCUGCUUUCAUCAAAGAUCCAAGGUAUGUGUCUAACCAUCAGUGGUAAUGUUUGUUGUACAGAAGCUCAAUUUGACACAUUGCGGACACAAGUCCAACAAAUGUCGCCGGGACUGUCCACAUUGGCUCAGGAUGGACUAACACCAAGGUGAGUAGCAGCGGGCAUUCGACCGAUCCUGUGGCUGUGUAUGAAGUUGAUAAGGUCCUUCUCCUUGAAGCAAUCUUUGGCACCGACAUUCCUCCUACCCUAGCUCCAGUACCAGCUCCUAACAUCAGCCCUACUGCUGAUGCUCCAACUGCUUCAGAUGAGGUUGGGUCUCCACGAGCAUCUUCAACCCCAUCUUCUUCCUAUAGGGUAAUCAGCUUAGGUGUUUGGAGCCAGUUGGUUUUGGCCAUUUUAGGUGGGCUGGUCUUGUUCUUAUAAGAGAGGAUUUGUCAAGUCUUUAAUUUAUAUGAAGAGGGUAUAUCCAUUGCUUUGAUUUCAAACCAUUUUUUGAUUACAUAUGUUACUGAAACUAUGAGAAUGUGAGUUUUCUUGUAUUAAUUACUACUUGUAUUUCAAUGACAUUUUGUUUGUGUUAUGGUUUUCA